AUUGAACGCUAGCGGCAUGCUUUACACAUGCAAGUCGAACGAGUGGCGGCCGGGUGAGCAAUGUAUCGGCACGGUACCGGUAGCGGGGGAUAACUACUCGGCACAGUUGCUAAUACCGCAUACAUUUGGAGCGGCCGAAUUCGGUUUAGCUAGUUGGUGGGGUAAAGGCUCACCAAGGACACGAUCUGUAGCUGGUGUGAGAGGACGACCAGCCACACUGGGACUGAGACACGGCCCAGACUCCUACGGGAGGCAGCAGUGGGGAAUUUUGGACAAUGGGGGAAACCCUGAUCCAGCCAUCCCGCGUGUAUGAGAAGGCCUUCGGGUUGUAAAGUACUUUUGGCAGAGAAGCGGUAUCUGCAGAAUAAGCACCGGCUAACUACGUGCCAGCAGCCGCGGUAAUAC
rnacentral:rRNA from 1 species